rnacentral:rRNA from 1 species
GAUGAACGCUGGCGGCGUGCCUAAUACAUGCAAGUCGAGCGAACAGACGAGGAGCUUGCUCCUCUGACGUUAGCGGCGGACGGGUGAGUAACACGUGGAUAACCUACCUAUAAGACUGGGAUAACUUCGGGAAACCGGAGCUAAUACCGGAUAAUAUAUUGAACCGCAUGGUUCAAUAGUGAAAGACGGUUUUGCUGUCACUUAUAGAUGGAUCCGCGCCGCAUUAGCUAGUUGGUAAGGUAACGGCUUACCAAGGCGACGAUGCGUAGCCGACCUGAGAGCGUGAUCGGCCACCCGGGAACUGAGACACGGCCCAGACACCUACGGGAGGCAGCAGUAGGGAAUCUUCCGCAAUGGGCGAAAGCCUGACGGAGCAACGCCGCGUGAGUGAUGAAGGUCUUCGGAUCGUAAAACUCUGUUAUUAGGGAAGAACAAAUGUGUAAGUAACUAUGCACGUCUUGACGGUACCUAAUCAGAAAGCCACGGCUAACUACGUG